AACGUAGGAGGCAAGCGUUAUCCGGAGUGACUGGGCGUAAAGAGCGUGUAGGCGGUUGAGUAAGAUGCGUGUGAAAGCGCCCGGUUAAACUGGGCGAGGACAGGCAAGACUGCUGAUCUAGUGGCCGAUAGAGGGGUGCGGAAUUCCGGGUGUAGCGGUGAAAUGUGUAGAGAUCCGGAGGAACACCAGUGGUGCAGACGGCGACGUGGAACGGACCUGACGCUGAGACGCGAAAGCGUGAGGAGCGAACGGG
rnacentral:rRNA from 1 species